rnacentral:tRNA from 1 species
UCCCUGGUGGUCCAGUGAUUAGGACUUUGUGUUUUUACUGCCAAGGGCCCGGGUUCAAUCCUUGCUGGGGAA